rnacentral:rRNA from 1 species
UACGUAGGGGGCAAGCGUUAUCCGGAUUUACUGGGUGUGAAGGGAGCGUAGACGGCAGUGCAAGUCUGAAGUGAAAGGCGGGGGCCCAACCCCCGGACUGCUUUGGAAACUGUGCUGCUGGAGUGCAGGAGAGGCAAGUGGAAUUCCUAGUGUAGCGGUGAAAUGCGUAGAUAUUAGGAGGAACACCAGUGGCGAAGGCGGCUUGCUGGACUGUAACUGACGUUGAGGCUCGAAAGCGUGGGGAGCAAACAGG